UACGUAGGGUGCGAGCGUUGUCCGGAAUUAUUGGGCGUAAAGAGCUCGUAGGCGGUCUGUCGCGUCUGCUGUGAAAAACCCGAGGCUCAACCUCGGGCCUGCAGUGGGUACGGGCAGACUAGAGUGCGGUAGGGGAGAAUGGAAUUCCUGGUGUAGCGGUGGAAUGCGCAGAUAUCAGGAGGAACACCGAUGGCGAAGGCAGUUCUCUGGGCCGUAACUGACGCUGAGGAGCGAAAGCGUGGGGAGCGAACAGG
rnacentral:rRNA from 1 species